GAUGAACGCUGGCGGCGUGCCUAAUACAUGCAAGUCGAGCGAACAGACGAGGAGCUUGCUCCUCUGACGUUAGCGGCGGACGGGUGAGUAACACGUGGAUAACCUACCUAUAAGACUGGGAUAACUUCGGGAAACCGGAGCUAAUACCGGAUAAUAUAUUGAACCGCAUGGUUCAAUAGUGAAAGACGGUUUUGCUGUCACUUAUAGAUGGAUCCGCGCCGCAUUAGCUAGUUGGUAAGGUAACGGCUUACCAAGGCAACGAUGCGUAGCCGACCUGAGAGGGUGAUCGGCCACACUGGAACUGAGACACGGUCCAGACUCCUACGGGAGGCAGCAGUAGGGAAUCUUCCGCAAAGGGCGAAAGCUUGACGGAGCAGCGCCGCGUGAGUGAUGAAGGUCUUCGGAUCGUAAAACUCUGUUAUUAGGGAAGAACAAAUGUGUAAGUAACUAUGCACGUCUUGACGGUACCUAAUCAGAAAGCCACGGCUAACUACGUG
rnacentral:rRNA from 1 species